rnacentral:lncRNA from 1 species
AACAUUUAACUCUCCUUCAACUCUGUAUCUCUCUUGUAAUUCUCUUUUCCACUCUCUUACACUUCUCUCUCGCUACAUAAAUCCUCACUUCUUCAAUACAAUUCUUCUAAGUAAUAUCACGCACUUGGCUUCUUCAGCCCUGGUAAUUGGGAAACUUCUCAAGAUCUGGUUUAGUCAUUGGGUUGACUGGAUUAAAAUUAGGGAUUCUUCUUUAAAUUGCGGUUUUUGAAUUUUUGCUAUAAUUGAUUCUAUUUUCUUACUCUUAAUUAAUCGAUCCUCUCUUUUGUUGCAGGGAAUCGAAGCUUAAAAUUUAGUGGAUUUGUGCUUUUAUUUGAGUUUUGGAUCAUUGGAGCUAGGGGUUAGUAGACUUCUAUGUUUAGUUUGACUUUGGUAUCAGUUUUGUGCUUCGAAUUCAGGUAUUACCCUUUUAAUUUUUAGUAAGCGUGUCUAUUUUUAGUGGGUGUGUAUUUCAUGGGAUACAAGUUGUUAACGGAGAAAACUAGUAGGUUAACAAAGAUGAGGUUCGCGGCGUGGAUCAAGAUUUCUGUUGGCGAGAAUGUAGGAGAUGGUUGGUUGUUUGUUAUAGAGGUGGCUGCAAUUGUAAGCAAAGGGUUCAAGAUUGCUAACUGGAAUAGCUCUCAAGAAUGAUCGAUGCCUACAAUCUGCCUACGUACCCCUAUUUAUAGGGGAUCAAGCCGUUACGUAGUUCUUUCUCCUAAGAGACCCAUGCGGGCUGGGCCUCCCCUUCUAGAAUCUUCUUCCCGGAAGGGGCCCAAUACGAUGAGGCCUAGCCAUUUGGGCUUACCCCAAAUGCAAGGGCGCUCUCCUACUCCCCGACAGGGACAACCCGCCAGACUACAGAGAUAGGACCUCCCGGGGUGUCUUCUUCCCUAUCCUCUACCUCCCAAGGAGGACAACUCCCUAGACUACAAGGUAGGGUCUUCUUAAUUUAACAAUGAGAUCUACCUGUGCUCAAGGGCGUCCCCUUAAACAUAAAGUACCUCUCACUGCCCUUCAAAACUAUGACAAAAUGAACUUUCCUUGGCAAGUGGGCGCGCCUAAAGAUAGGGCGCGCCCUAUCUUUUGACAGGGUUACCCUGAGACUGGAGUGAUCUUGACUUUCUUGGGCUGAACAAACCUCCUUUGAUGGGCUCGGCCUAUUUAGCUGAUCUUGACAAAUUCGCAUAUAACAACUACCCCCCAGAUCUUGGUAAUAUUGAAAAUGUUGGCGAGAUCUCUUUGCCUUCUGUAAACAUCUUUCCUCUGUCUAUCUAACUCUUCUUUAAAUUACCUUUGUACGUCUUCUAGCAAAUUUGGGCGUGACCAGAUUGGGCGCGCCUUGUGUUGCCAAUCGUUGAAGCCCUAACGCGAACAGCUGUACCCCACUAUUUUCUGUUAUUUUUGAUUUAUUUGAAUUCUUCCCCUUUUCUUUUUUCUUCUUUUUUUUUUUUUUUUUUUNUAAAUACCCGAUCUCUUUCAUCCUCCUUCAUUUUUACUUUCUCAAUUUUAAAACCCUCGUCGCCGUCGCACCUUCUUCGAGCUCCACAGCCUUCGUCCGAGCUUCAUUCUUCUUUCUGAGACCAGCCCAGAAUUCGCCACAUCUUAAGGUACACGCCCAUGCCUUUAUCCUUUUAUUUCACCGAGUCAUUUGUUAGUUCUGAGCAUGUGUCCUUUCGUCUUCUUCAGUGUUCUUCGAAUGUUGAUUGUAUGUAUAUAUGUAUGUAUCAUCGUUUGAUCUUGUUUCCUAGUAUCUUGUUGCUUGAAACAUAUGUUAGUGAUAUCUGAAAUAUGGGAUAUUGAUAUUAGGCGCGCUUCAUAGGGAAAGCUAUGUAGUUUCUCGUCUUUCUAAUAGAUGCGUGUAAUUGAGCCCAUAUAUAACUUGCGUCCCUACGUUCUCUAUGGUUCUCUACUUUCCUAAUCAUGGCGCGCCCUAUCUCAUGGCGCGCCUCUUCCCUUAAUGUUAUAUAGCUGUCUAAUUCUUCCGUACUUCUUUGGGAUCAAUCCCUCUGCACAUGUUAUCUCUUUUCCAGUCUUUUUGUUAUAUUGUUACUCCUUCUUCCCCUACUUCAUCUGCAUCUCGGCGCGCCCAGUGAUCUCAAUUCAAUUUUCUUUCUUUUGCAGCUGGCUAAUCUGGGCGCGCCAUAUCUUCCUUCACCUAUUCCAUUAAGAUCCCUUGCUCCUCAAUUUCCCGUGGCUAUGGCUGAGAGUGGAGCUUCUUCCCCUGAGUUGCAAGAAACCAACCGGGUGGACAUUAAUGAUCUUUUAGACCAAGACGAGCGAGAUCUUCGUAGUUCUUUUAAAAAGACUCACGUUGUUAGCUUUGAUGAGGAUCAUCCAGACAACGUUAUGGAAGAGGAAGUAGGAGAUGAGAUUAAUGAAAAUGAUGAAGAUUCUGAAGAAGCCGCAGCUGAGGAGGAGGCCAGAACUUUUUAUCAUGCCAUGGAAGAAGAAGACUCAUCAAAUGAGGCGCGCCCUCCUUCUCCUGUUCCUUCUCCUAACCCCUACGCUCAUCCCCGGAUAUUAGAUAGUGAGCUGGAUUUCGACUGGGAUGAGGAAGAAGAAGUUCGUGAAAGUCUUAAAGCCAAACGACGGAAGAAAGCAGGUAAACUGGCCUGUGUGGGAUUAUCUUCGACUGCUUCCAAGGCUGAGAUUGAAUGGUGUCUCAGAUAUUACGAUAAAGGAUGCAUCUGGGCGCGCCUCACCCUGGGAUGAGACCUCACAUUUUUGAUUACAACCCCAGACUCCGUAUCCCUAGGAUGGUCCUUACGCCGAAGUUGGUUAAGUUAGGUAUCGGCCCUCCUCUUCAUCCCUAUUUUAAAUCAAUAAUUGAAUGGUUUGAUAUUGCACCAAUCCAGUUGUCUCCUAAUGGCUGGAAGCUAGCCAUUGCUUUGUAUAUGUUGUACCAAGAUCAUAAUAACCGUGCCCCUACCAUGGAGGACUUGAGCUUUUUCUUUAGAUUGGGCGCAUCCAGCCUAGGCUAUUACUACCUAGUAGUUUGGAAAACUCAUAAUUCUACUGGAUGGUCUGAGGGAAAGACAAGCAACGAGAAAAAAUGGAAGGAGCCUUUCUUCUAUACCUGGCCAGACGAAAGGGUCAGGACCCAAUUCAACACUACUCCUAGUAAGUUUUUAAUUAGGCGCGCCUUAUCUUUGUAACCUCCUGUAUUUUCUAUACUUAGAUAAUUCUUUCAUAUGUCUAGUUGAGCGAAAACAAUCUGUUCUCACGGGGCGCGCCAAAAGAAGAGCAGAAAAUAUUAUUAAUCUUCCGUACGAGGCUAAGAUUAUUAAUCAUCUUGUUACUACGGAGCGUUUAAAAGAAUAUGGCUUUCUGAGCAACGCGGUAGGAUCAAUUUGCUCUUACCAGGACUUCUACGGAGGUCGUCCUAUCAAGAGGAAAGCCAAAGAGGUCGAGGAAAUCGAGGUUGAGGAAGAGGAAGAUUAUUCUGAUGGUGUUACAGAUCAGGGCGCGCCUGAUUAUGGUUACAUCCUUUAUCUUGACUUAUAUAUCUGCCUGUACUUUUGUAUUCUUUUACUGUUAUCUUGCCUAUCUAAUUGUCUUUAUUGCUGCCUUGCUUUAAUUUUCGCGUGUAUACUCAUACAUACGUACUUGUAUCCCGGACUAAUCUUUCUUUUAUGUAUUUUCAGACAUGUCUCUUCCAGGUGGAUUUGGUUUGAAGACUGGGCGCGCCCAGUCUGGAGGCGCGUCUGGUUCUAAAGCUGUCAAUAAAGUGUCUGUGGGCCAAUCUAUUUCCCAAAGAUCCCCUCCAAAAAAGAAGGAUCUGGAAAAAAGGAAACCUAAUGUUAUUAAUCUUGAGUCUUCCAAGAGACCUAAAGUGGCGAACCUUACUCCUGAAUCUUCAUAUGAGGCCCCGGUCACUGCUGCAGGUGAUUGGUUUGGUCGGAUGGCUGACACUUACUUUGGUCCAGGCAGGUUUCACAACUGGCAGCAGCGAAAUGGAGAACAAGCGGCUGAAGCAUGCAGGCGCGCCGCGGGCGAGCUGUUUUUUCACUUGACUUGCAAUCCUUCUGACUCGGAAAAACUCAAAGCGCUCCUGGAUACCGCUAAUGAGGAAAAUGCUGAGUUGAAGAAACAACUGGCGACUGCCAACAAGGACAAAGCUGAAUUACAGAGGUAUAAGUCCAGGGCUGAGAAGGAUAUUCCUCGUUUGAAGCUGGAUGCAGACAAUCUUAGGACAGAGCUAAAUAAAACAGCUCAGGAACUUACUGCUGCUAGUGGGCGCGUCCUUUCUCUGGAAACUAAAGUUGAGGACAUGGAGAAUCAACUUGCUGUAGCCCAUGAAACAUUUUUUGCUGAGGGGUUCAGAAGUUAUGUGACAGGAUUUUUGGCUGUGGAUCCAGAUUAUGACUGGGGAAAGUUCGUCCCAUCCACCAGAACCUGGAUUGAAGAAUUCAAGACAGAGCAGGCCAAGGCUAUUGAAGAGAAAAGGAUGGAAAUCGAGCUUGAAGCUGCAUCAGAAUCUGCUAAGAAAUUUCUUCAACAACCUUCUCCUCAAGAUGGGACGCGCCCAGAUGGUGAGGUGAACGAUCAAGUCCUUCAGCUAGAACAAGCUGCUACUGAAAAUGUUAACCAAGAUAACCUAGUCUCUGAAACCGUCCUUUCCCAACAGGGUAAUCUUGAUUCUUCUCAAGAUCAAGUAUGACUUUUUUUUUUAUAUUUAAUCGUUCUGGAUUUUAUUUGGGCGCGGGACCCUGUAACCCUGCAAAUUGUUCUAACUUAUGACUUUUGGGACUUGCUUAUUUGAUUUUUGGGGCGCGCCCUUCCGUACUGAUCCCCUAAUUAUUGAAUGUCCCUUUCCAUAAUUUGUCUGUUCUUGCACUUAAUUAUCAACUGCUUUUGUUCAUUUUUCUUAUACUUCAUCAUGUAUAUGAGAAUCUCCCUGACUAUGCUUGUGUUAUAAAAUUCUUACAAGGAAACACGUGGCGCGCCGUAUCACUUGGCGCGCCCAGCCUUGAUCUCACUUAAGUCAGAAAGAGCAGUUGGUCUAAUAUGUAUAUUGAUCGUUUUGCUUCAGUACUUUUCCCGCGGGCUUAUUCUUAAUCAGAAUUCUUAAGAGGGGUUACUGUCUUUGACAACUCAGUAUUCUUUCAAGUUGUUAGCAAGUAGGCGCGCCCCAUGUUUGGGCGCGCCCUGUGUUUGCAGGCAGUAAAAAUGAAUGAAAAAGUCUUGCCAUUAUAUACUGAAAAGUGAUUACACAAGGUGUUCUUCCUCAUCUAAGGUCUACAUGCUAUUCCUAUUAGCAGAGUCCAUAUUGUUCUUAUUGAUAAUACUUCUUCAAGUGCUCAGCAUUCCAUGCCUUGGAGAUGGGCUCACCCUGCAUGACUCCCAAGUAGUAUGCACCUCCAAAGAUCUCAGCCCGAAUGCGGUAGGGUCCUUCCCAAUUUGCCCCGAACACUCCGUGACCUGGCACCUUCAUUCCCGGCAUCAUCUUGCGCAAUACUAAGUCUCCCACUUUGAACGGUCUAGGCUUGACUCGACUGUUGUAGAAUCGAGCUGUCCUUUGUUGGUAUGCUGCCAACCUAACUUGCGACUCCCUCCUGACUUCCUCCAACAUAUCUAGAUGUAGCCUCUGGUUAACAACAUUGUCCUCUUCCUGGAAGUGGUCUCUCCUGAAGGAACCUGCUCCGACCUCCACCGGAACCAUUGCUUCACAACCAUAGGUCAACAUGAACGGCGACUCCCCAGUGGUUGUCCUUGGCGUAGUAUUGUAUGACCAUAGUACCAUUGGAAGCUCCUCCGGCCAAUCACCUUUCUUCUCUUCCAACUUGGCCUUCAGCGUGUGUUUGAUGAUCUUGUUGAUUGCUUCAGUCUGUCCAUUGCUCUGUGGAUGAUACACAGCUGCAAAGUUCCUCCUUAUAUUCAAGUCAUCACAUAACUUCUUCAAUUCUCUGCUAUCAAAUUGUUUCCCAUUAUCAGAUAUCAAUUUGUAUGGGAUACCAAAUCUGCACACGAUUGAAUUGAAUACAAAACUUGUUAUCUUCUUAGCAGUAAUGGUUGCUAGAGGCGCGGCCUCGGCCCAUUUUGUAAAGUAAUCUACUGCCACUACUGCAUACCUGACUCCUCCUUUGGCUUUCGGAAGCUCUCCAAUGAGGUCUAUCCCCCAUAAAGCGAAUGGCCAUGGACUGAGUAACGGAGUCAGACUUGCUGCAGGACGAGAUGAAUAUGUGGCAAAUCGCUGGCACUUGUCACAUGCUUGCACGAACUUGCUUGCUUCACUCCUCAUAGUUGGCCAGUAGUAUCCUUGCCUAAGGAUCUUCAGUGCAAGUGAACUACCCCCCGAGUGAUUGCCGCAUAUUCCUUCAUGCACUUCCCUUAAGAUAUAAUUGCACUCUUCCCCUGCAAUGCACUUCAGCAGCGGCUGGUUGAACCCUCUCUUAUACAAGACACCAUCGUAUAUUACAAAUCUCGCUGCUUUGUAUCUGAGAUCUCUUCCUGGAAGUGGUCUCUCCUGAAGGAACCUGCUCCGACCUCCACUGGAACCAUUGCCUCACGGGAGCUGACCCUCCUGGAUGAUAGGUCAACAUGAACGGCGACUCCCCAGUGGUUGUCCUUGGCGUAGUAUUGUAUGACCAUAGUACCAUUGGAAGCUCCUCCGGCCAAUCACCUUUCUUCUCUUCCAACUUGGCCUUCAGCGUGUGUUUGAUGAUCUUGUUGAUUGCUUCAGUCUGUCCAUUGCUCUGUGGAUGAUCCACAGCUGCAAAGUUCCUCCUUAUAUUCAAGUCAUCACAUAACUUCUUCAAUUCUCUGCUAUCAAAUUGUUUCCCAUUAUCAGAUAUCAAUUUGUAUGGGAUACCAAAUCUGCACACGAUUGAAUUGAAUACAAAACUUGUUAUCUUCUUAGCAGUAAUGGUUGCUAGAGGCGCGGCCUCGGCCCAUUUUGUAAAGUAAUCUACUGCCACUACUGCAUACCUGACUCCUCCUUUGGCUUUCGGAAGCUCUCCAAUAAGGUCUAUCCCCCAUAAAGCGAAUGGCCAUGGACUGAGUAACGGAGUCAGACUUGCUGCAGGACGAGAUGAAUAUGUGGCAAAUCGCUGGCACUUGUCACAUGCUUGCACGAACUUGCUUGCUUCACUCCUCAUAGUUGGCCAGUAGUAUCCUUGCCUAAGGAUCUUCAGUGCAAGUGAACUACCCCCCGAGUGAUUGCCGCAUAUUCCUUCAUGCACUUCCCUUAAGAUAUAAUUGCACUCUUCCCCUGCAAUGCACUUCAGCAGCGGCUGGUUGAACCCUCUCUUAUACAAGACACCAUCGUAUAUUACAAAUCUCGCUGCUUUGUAUCUGAGAUUUCUGGCUUCCUUUACACUUUCCGGGAGCUGACCCUCCUGGAUGAACCUAAGUAUAGGGGUCAUCCAGUUAUCCACAACUUCAUCCUCCACCUCCAUCAGAUCUUCUCUGAACCGGGUGACCUUCUGUGCUUCUGACACACUUGGCUUCUCCUGAACACAGAAUUGGAUAGUCCCUAAUAACUUGGUGUCCCUUCUGGAACUGGCCUUGGCUAAUGCAUCAGCACCUUCAUUUUUCUCGCGAGGAACCUUUUCCAAAUGUACCUCUUUGAACCUCUUCAUUAACUCUUGUGUAUGGGUCAUGUAUAAGUUCGUCCUCCAUCCUCGAGCUAAGAACCCCCCAUUUACCUGGUGGACCACCAACAUUGAAUCACUAUACACAAUAAGGUUCCUAGCCCUCAUUUCCACAGCUAGGGCUAGACCAUUGAUCAAAGCCUCAUAUUCUGCAUCGUUGUUGGUUGCGGGGAACCCUAGGUGGAUGGCACUCAACAACCGACACCCCCCGGGACUAACCAAAACUAUACCAACUCCAGCUCCAUCAGAGUUGGCAGCUCCAUCAACAUGCAAGUUCCACCAUGUGUCAUCCUCCACCAAAAGACCUUCAAUGGGUUCAACAACUGGACUAUACGGUACUAUUGCCCACUCCUGAGCAUCAUCCUCAAAUUCCAAUAAGAAAUCAGCCAGGGCUUGGCCUUUGAUAGUAGCUCUAGGCUUAUAAUCCAAGUCAAACUGUCCUAGCUCAACAGCCCACUUCAUGAGUCUUCCCGUUGCUUCUGGUUUAUGCAUAAUCUGACGGAGAGGGUAUGAAGUUCUUACCUCAACCUUAUGAGCCUGAAAGUAUGGACGAAGUUUCCUCGCUGCUAAGACCAAGGAAUAUACCAACUUUUCCAUGCUAGUGUAUCUUGUCUCAGCAUCCAAUAGCCUUUUGCUAACAUAAUACACCGGGAACUGGACAUCCUUCUCCUCCUUUACAAGAACGGCGCUGACCGAGUAUCUUGAAACAGCCAGGUAUAAGAUCAGUGUUUCCCCUUCUACAGGCUUGGCCAAGAGAGGUGGCUUUCCCAAUUGCUCCUUUAUCUUUUGGAAGGCCUCUUCACAUUCAUCCGUCCAUACAAACGUUUUCCCAGCCUCCUUGAUAGCCGUAAAGAACUCCUUGCAUCUGUCUGAGGACUUAGACACAAAUCUAUUUAAUGCCGCUAUCCUUCCCGUAAGGCUCUGAACCUGCCUCACAUUCUGAGGAGACUUCAUAUCGAGUAAUGCCUUGAUUUUUGCAGGAUUAGCUUCGAUUCCUCGAUGAUUUACCAUGAACCCCAAGAAUUUACCAGACUCAACUCCAAAUACACACUUCUGGGGAUUCAACUUCAUUCGAUACUUCCUAAGUAUGUCAAACAUCUCAGACAAGUGCCGAAUGUGAUCUUGCGCCUCCUUGGACUUAACCAACAUGUCAUCUACAUAAACCUCCAUAGUCUUACCGAUCUGGUCUUUAAACAUCAUGUUCACAAGGCGUUGGUAGGUUGCGCCAGCAUUGAUCAGUCCAAAUGGCAUCCCUAUAUAGCAAUACAACCCCCUGUCUGUUAUAAAUGAGGUAUGUUCUUGAUCUGGCUCAUGCAUGGGGAUCUGAUUGUAUCCUGAAUAGGCAUCCAUGAAACUCAGCAAGGCAUGUCCAGCUGUGGCAUCCACCAACUGAUCUAUCCUUGGGAGUGGGAAACUAUCCUUUGGGCAUGCUUUAUUUAAAUCAGUGAAAUCAACACAGGUUCUCCACUUCCCAUUAGGUUUCUUGACAAGGACCGGGUUAGCCAGCCAUGUAGGGUAGAAUGACUCCUUGAUAAGCUUAGCACCCAACAACCGGUCAACCUCUUCCUUUAAUGCUUGGGCCCUUUCUCCACUAACAGGUCUUCUCUUCUGUCUCAUCCCUUUCUUGGUAGGGUCAAUGUUUAAAUGGUGACUCAUUACUUCUGGGUCGAUCCCUACCAUAUCAGCAUGACACCAAGCAAAAACAUCCAAGUUGCUUCUUAAGAAACGGAUAAGGCUUGCCUUCAACUCUCCUUUCAGCUUAGACCCUAUCUUCAAUGUUUUGGCCUCUCUGGCCUCCCCAACCUGGAUUUCAACGGUAUCUUCAGCUGGCCCAGUCUUGGUUGACUCUAGGGGCAGCCUUGGGUCUAGAUCAGACUCCUCUUUGGUUCCAGAUGUCUCCCCUUUUUCCCAUAUAGAGCAAGGCUUAAGCUCGGCAUCUGAAUCUACUUCCAUCGGUUCUUUCCCUUUUGAUUGCCCGAGAUUAUCUCCUUCAUCAGGAAAUUGGACAAAGUAAGUCAUAUUGAUCUCCCCACCAGUGUUGGCAGCGAAGGGCUCUUUCAGUGGUCUACUCUUCUUGAAACCUUUAAGGGAUUGCAGGUAACAUUCUCUGGAGUCAUAUCGUAGGGUUACCGGGAGCCGGAUGGUCCCUUUUACUUUUACAGCCUCUCCACCAAAUCCAUAGAUAUAGACAUCUUCAACUUUCAUAUCCUUAUCAGGGAGACCAAGCUUCUGGUAGGUGCCAUAAUAAAGAAUGUUGACAGAGCUUCCAUUAUCAACGAGCACGCGGUGAACAUUCAUCGGACCAAUACGAAGGGCGAUCACUAGGGCAUCAUUAUGCGGGUGGUGAACCCAUCUGGCAUCUUCUUCUUUUGCUUCCUUUGCAUAUCUCUCCAUAGCCCUGGUCCCCUCACCGGCCAAAUGUGGCCCUCCGAAGAUGACAUGAAUGCUUCCUUCUUUAACGAACUGGAUGUCCUCUUGCUUUCCCCUCUCUUGAUCGCCAGUAUAGCCAAGCCCCCUUCUGUCCUUGGCUCGAAUAUCUCGUCGGGACCGGGCUUCUCGUACUAUCCACUCAUUAAGCUGGCCUUCUUUGAUUAGCAGCUCAAUCUCUUCUUUCAGUUGUCUACAUUCAUGGGUAUCAUGCCCGGUUGAUUCGUGGUAUUCACAGUACUUGUCCUUAUUUUUGGCUUGCCAAGAAUUUAGUGGAGCUGGCCUGCGGAAGAGUCCCUUGUCACGAUUAACUUCGAAGAUGUGAUCGAUUGGCGCGGCAAGUGGUGUCCAGCGAUCUUCCCUUUCUUCAUGAUCUCGAGGAGGUGUAUAAUUCCUUCUAUACAUGGUGUUGACCCGGUUGGGGCUUCGUCGCCUCCCCCUUUGUUCUGGACUUGGGGACCGGUCCCUUCUCUUUUGUCGGGCCUUACCCGGGCUUCUCUCAUUCUUUCGACUCUCAGCCAAUGACUGUUCAACAUUCUUAUAUGCCUCAGCCCUUGCAUAUAAAUCUGCCAGAGACUUGGGAUCAUUGCCUUGCAAGUGCUUCCAAAAAUCAGUUCCCACUCGAAGCCCAGCCACCAAGAAGCUCUUCAGUGUCUCAUCAGUUGCCCCCCGAACGUUGGACGACUCUGCAUUGAAACGUUUGAAGUAGGCAUGAAGAGUCUCUCCUUCCUUUUGUUUGAUGUUUGCCAGAGUGGUGACUGGUGGAGCGUACUUGACGGUUGCCUGGAACUGAGUCAAGAACAUAGUCUGCAUGCUUGUCCAAGAAGUGAUGGAUGCUGGUUCCAAUUUCCGGAACCAUUGGUAGGCACUGUCUCUGAAUGUGGCCGCAAGAAGUCUACACCUGACAGGGUCCGGUAUCUGGUAGACACCCAUCUCAACAUUGAAUCUUCCAAGAAACUCUACAGCAUCUGAGUUGCCGUGAAACUUUAAAUCGGAGGUGGUGUUUCUGUAAUUGGCUGGGAGCGGAGCCUCUAUCACCUCAGCAGAGAAUGGUGAUAGGGCUUGGCUUGAAAGAGACAUUUGGCUUCCGUCGAAAUGUGCCAGAAGUUUCCUUAGGCUGUUGACAUCAAUAGCUCCGAUGCCUGGAAUGGUCUGAACGUUUGGCUGUGACAGAGUCAUUGAUGGUAGUGUUCCGGUAGCCAUGAGAUCACUUGCCGUGGCAAGAAGAUUGGAUUGAUUAGCGUGAGUCUGAGCAGAUGGGGGCGCAUUGGCCUGAGAUGAGGCUUGAAUAUGCGGAUUGGCAUGAGCAUUGGCCUGAGACGAGGCUUGAAUGUGUGGAUCGGCAAUGGUCUGAUCAAGAUUUGCCUAACCAUUCAUUAUUACAUAUUCUACUACUACCAGAACGAAAUAUAAUAUAACUUUUACGAUAAUUUACAAAGAGGAGACAAGAAAAGAACCUGAUGAUGAGUCUUUCCGUUGCCCGGAGACGUCGCAUGCUCGCGCGUUCCUCCCUGACCCUGCCGUCCUUCAAGCACGAUCGGGUCUCGCUCCGAUCUUCCUCCCAAACCACGGGGUUCUUGUUCUUGCGAUCUGUCAUAGCUUCUUGAGUCUGGUCCAUGCGGAAUCUCCUUCCUAUGUCCUUCUCGACCCGUGCCUGCCGUUCUUGACCCAGUACUCGCAUAUUCAGGUCUGCUUUCAAGAUCUUUGAUCAGGGCCAAAAGAUCCGCCCUACUGACUCUUCCUCUGUAUCUCUCCGCCAGAGCGUUAACAUCUCGACUGGCCUCCUCCAGAUGUGCAGUCGCUCGUCUAUCUUGCGGGGGUCUUCCUCCGUCCCUGGCGCCCUCUCCUCCGGCGGUAGUUUGGCCGCCUGACGCGAAUAAGUUUCGUGGAACAAUCACAGGCCUUCUAUCAUCGCGAUGGCCUGACUGACUUUCCUCUUCAAAGGGCUGCUUCCCGGAACGAUGUGUUCCGGGAACAAGGGACUCCAGUUGCGCGACUCGCUCUCUGAGCCCUUGCUGUUCUCUCGCUUCGUUUCUCAAGUAGUGCAACUCUUUGAGUAACUCCUCGUUGCUUAUGAAUACCGGCGGCGAGCCGGGGAUGGGGCGUCUCAUAACGCCAGACUCUCCGUCUGUUAUGAUGAUUGCCCUGUCUUGAGAGGCGUUCCCGACCGGCGUGUUGUCGACGGGAGGGUUAUCGCCUAUCCCUGAUCUAGGAUCGGGGGGUUGAUUCCCGCCGGGCGUUGUCUCGCCGUGAUUCGACAUCUUUCUCCUUGAUGGAAAAUCUUGAACGAUCCCCUCCUUCUAGCGCCAAUUUGUUAACGGAGAAAACUAGUAGGUUAACAAAGAUGAGGUUCGCGGCGUGGAUCAAGAUUUCUGUUGGCGAGAAUGUAGGAGAUGGUUGGUUGUUUGUUAUAGAGGUGGCUGCAAUUGUAAGCAAAGGGUUCAAGAUUGCUAACUGGAAUAGCUCUCAAGAAUGAUCGAUGCCUACAAUCUGCCUACGUACCCCUAUUUAUAGGGGAUCAAGCCGUUACGUAGUUCUUUCUCCUAAGAGACCCAUGCGGGCUGGGCCUCCCCUUCUAGAAUCUUCUUCCCGGAAGGGGCCCAAUACGAUGAGGCCUAGCCAUUUGGGCUUACCCCAAAUGCAAGGGCGCUCUCCUACUCCCCGACAGGGACAACCCGCCAGACUACAGAGAUAGGACCUCCCGGGGUGUCUUCUUCCCUAUCCUCUACCUCCCAAGGAGGACAACUCCCUAGACUACAAGGUAGGGUCUUCUUAAUUUAACAAUGAGAUCUACCUGUGCUCAAGGGCGUCCCCUUAAACAUAAAGUACCUCUCACUGCCCUUCAAAACUAUGACAAAAUGAACUUUCCUUGGCAAGUGGGCGCGCCUAAAGAUAGGGCGCGCCCUAUCUUUUGACAGGGUUACCCUGAGACUGGAGUGAUCUUGACUUUCUUGGGCUGAACAAACCUCCUUUGAUGGGCUCGGCCUAUUUAGCUGAUCUUGACAAAUUCGCAUAUAACACAAGUAUAUGUAUAUAUGUUGUUAUUUGUAUGCGUGGGUGGGUGUUUUUUAAAUAUUUGUUUGUGUUUAUAGGUUUUAUUUUGUUCUUGAUUUGUAAGUUUUUAAUUUAGUUGUCUCCCUAACUCUCUUACUAUUAACAUUGUCAUGUUACUUGUGAGAUCUGAUUUACUUACAAAAAACAUACUACAUAUUGUUUUCGUGUUUCAGAUUUUAAACCAAUAGAUUAUGGUUGUUAACAUGUAAUUUAUCAAUUUAAUAUUGACAAAAUUAAUGAGCAUCAUAUCGAGACUAUUUCUGGCCAUGGCAGUGGAGUGAGACUAUUGACACUAUUGCAAAGACCACAUGUUUUAUACAAUCUGCAAAUUAAUGAUGCGGAUCAUGGUACUUCUAUCUCAUAAUAAAUUAAAAUUUUUAAUGUAAGAAAGUUUUACAUUUAUUAUUGCACGUACUAAACAUCCUUUUUCUAAAUGUCUUUAUUCUUUGAAAAUAUCUUGUAAUAUUUAUUAGAAAUUUCUCGUUUAAAACCUUAAAAUUGGUUACUGGUACUUAUAUUUAGAUGCUUAGAUAUGCUUUGAGAAGUUUUUAACUGAUUUGUAAUUAGUUGGCUAAUUUGAACUCCAAAACUAGGGGAUAGCGUUAUCAAGUAAACAUAGUACAGGACAUGACUGUUCUCCACAUCUAUUGCAUAUUAGGAAUAAUGAUGGGAACACUGCAGAAGACUUGUUGCCGAAAGACUACAAAAAUAAACAACAAGCAGCUGAGAAAGCAGGGAAAGAAAUGAAUCAAGGCUUAAUGGUUGUGGCAGCAUUGAUUACCACUGUGAGUUUUGUUGUUGUUUUCAGUCUUCCUGAAGGAUUUGAUCAAAAUAAAGGGAAUACCCUGUUUUUUUUAACAGAGAAGGUCAUCGUCAUGAUUUAAAUUUGUUUCUAAGGUAUGUCAGUCUUACUUUCUUUGCUUCUUUGAUUGCCUUGGGAACCCUUUUGUCAACUCAGUUAUAGUUUACGUGUCUUAUAUAACAUCAAACUUUAUCAUCUGACAAUUUUUUUCCUAAAAGAGGUUCUCUACUUUUAUAUCUAAGAACUUCUGGCUUUUUCAUUUUCUAUUAUUUUUAACUUAAUUGAAUAUGUAUUCCAGAUUUCAUAUAUGCAUAAAUUUUACAUUAUUUUUCAUCUCAACAAUUAAUCUGGUUGCGUUUAGCCUUGUAAUUUUGAUGUAGUGCUUUGCAUGUGGCUAGUAUAGUUUUGCAUCUUUAUUUCCUCUAAACACACACAUCUAGAUAGAUUUGCACAAAUUUUAAUACUAGUCGAUUGCAAUAGUAUAAGUAUUCAGAGCUCUCAUUUCUCAGGUGAACAUUAACCACUCAACCAAUUAUUUCAGCUAGUAAUUAUUAGUCAUGUCAUCGCAAUUGAGAAUUUGGAAGCAGAGAAAUAGAUUUCCACAGCAAAGCACAAGUCCCCUUUUGAAUACUGUGAUUGCAACAAGUAUGUUGAUUAUAGUUAUGAAUGUAGUUUAACUCCUAAGCUAGAUGGGAGAAGUCAAAUUCGAAAUGUCUAGGCAGAACACAUGUACGACCACUAAUGCAGAUUAACUUGUAAACAUACAUCUAACUAGUUGUAAAUAUUGAAGUGUGUAGUGUUUGAAUCACUAUAUAAAGUUAAAGAAUGGAAGUGUUUUCAGAUUAUAUGGUUGCGGAAUAUUUAGUGGAAACUGUUCAUUUUUUAUUUUUGCUCAAUUACUUGUCAUGCAUGGUAUAGAUUUUUACUAUCUCACUUUUCUUAAAAAGAAAAUUGUUGGCUGUCAUUGGUAAUUGGUGGUACGCCUUAUGGUGGUUGACUGCAGCAAUUUUAUAUGUUUUAAGGUUACUUUCUUUUUUUACAGAAUUUUGGGAAUGCCUUAGAAGUACAAGAACCUGUUGAAGAAGAGCAACAUGGCAAACCAAUAACCUCCGAAUUUGUAUCUACGCACUCUGAGAUUUCAGAAAGAGAAGCAACUACAGAUUGGUCAAGUUCAGAGUAUAACACACAUUCUGUUGGAAAUUUAGACACUGUAUUAAUUUGUGAGAAAUACCGGUUAAGUCAAACCGCGUAAGUAGAAGAAAGAAAAUCUUGUUUACAAAUAUCUAUUGUAGUUAGUUUAUGUAGAUUUAUACUGGUUUGCAUAGGUUUUAGUAUAAUGAUGCUUGGCUUUCGGGUUGUGUAGUGAUAUUGUUUGGAUUAUGAUUUAGCUAGUGGGUAUGUAUGUUUGGAGUGAUUUAUGUUAUUGAUUGUGUAAUAUACUGAUAAAUUGGAAUAAAUGGUUU